rnacentral:rRNA from 1 species
UACGAAGGGGGGCUAGCGUUGCUCGGAAUCACUGGGCGUAAAGCGCACGUAGGCGGCUUUCUAAGUCAGGGGUGAAAUCCUGGAGCUCAACUCCAGAACUGCCUUUGAUACUGGAGAGCUCGAGUCCGGAAGAGGUGAGUGGAACUGCGAGUGUAGAGGUGAAAUUCGUAGAUAUUCGCAAGAACACCAGUGGCGAAGGCGGACUCACUGGUCCGGUACUGACGCUGAGGUGCGAAAGCGUGGGGAGCAA